rnacentral:tRNA from 1 species
GAUCCGUUAGCUCAGCCGGUAGAGCAACUGCCUUUUAAGCAGUGGGUCCGGGGUUCGAGUCCCCGACGGGUCACCA